rnacentral:rRNA from 1 species
UACGUAGGGUGCAAGCGUUAAUCGGAAUUACUGGGCGUGAAGCGUGCGCAGGCGGUUCUAUAAGACAGAUGUGAAAGCCCCGGGCUCAACCUGGGAACUGCAAUGGAAACUGGCGGCUUGAGUGUGGCAGAGGGGGGGGUGAAUUCCGCGUGUAGCAGUGAAAUGCGUAGAGAUGCGGAGGAACACCGAUGGCGAAGGCAGCCCCCCUGGGCCAACACUGACGCUCAGGCACGAAAGCGUGGGGAGCAAACAGG